rnacentral:lncRNA from 1 species
UGUUAUAGUGUGAUGUUUUCUAAAUGACUUUAUGUGAUAGUGUGAACGUUUUCUGACUGGCAGAAGGAUAUUCAGUUUUCUUUUUGCCCAACCUUGUCAGUCUGGUGCUAAAAAGAAGAGAACGAACAACAUUUAUGUGUAAACACUGAGAGAGGAAAAAAAGGACUAGUUUAU